GAUGAACGCUGGCGGUAUGCUUAACACAUGCAAGUCGAACGAAAGUUUUUAACUUUAGUGGCGAACGGGUGCGUAAUACGUGAGAAUCUGCCCUUAGGAGAAGAAUAACUGCUGGAAACGGCUGCUAAAUCUUCAUAUGCCGAGAGGUGAAAUAGUUUUAACUGCCUAAGGAUGAGCUCACGCCUGAUUAGCUAGUUGGUAAGGUAAUGGCUUACCAAGGCCACGAUCAGUAGCUGGUUUGAGAGAACGAUCAGCCACACUGGGACUGAGACACGGCCCAGACUCCUCCGGGAGGCAGCAGUGAGGAAUUUUCCGCAAUGGGCGAAAGCCUGACGGAGCAAUACCGCGUGAGGGAUGAAGGAUUUUGGUCUGUAAACCUCUUUUCUCAAGAAAGAAGUUCUGACGGUACUUGAGGAAUAAGCAUCGGCUAACUCCGUGCCAGCAGCCGCGGUAAUACGGGGGAUGCAAGCGUUAUCCGGAAUCAUUGGGCGUAAAGCGCCUGUAGGUUGUUUAAUAAGUCUGUUGUUAAAGACUAGGGCUUAACCCUAGAAAAGCAAUGGAAACUACUAGACUAGAGUAUGGCAGGGGUAGAGGGAAUUUCUAGUGUAGCGGUGAAAUGCGUAGAUAUUAGAAAGAACACCAGUGGCGAAAGCGCUCUACUGGACCAUUACUGACACUCAGAGGCGAAAGCUAGGGUAGCAAAAGGGAUUAGAUACCCCUGUAGUCCUAGCCGUAAACGAUGGAUACUAGAUGUUGUAUUUUUUACAGUAUCCUAGCUAACGCGUUAAGUAUCCCGCCUGGGGAGUACGCUCGCAAGGGUGAAACUCAAAGGAAUUGACGGGGGCCCGCACAAGCGGUGGAGCAUGUGGUUUAAUUCGAUGCAACGCGAAGAACCUUACCAGGGCUUGACAUACUGCGAAUCUUCUUGAAAGAGAGGAGUGCCUUCGGGAAUGCAGUUACAGGUGGUGCAUGGCUGUCGUCAGCUCGUGUCGUGAGAUGUUGGGUUAAGUCCCGCAACGAGCGCAACCCUUGUUUUUAGUUACCAAUUCGUUGGGUUCUCUAGAAAGACUGCCGGUGACAAACCGGAGGAAGGUGAGGAUGACGUCAAGUCAGCAUGCCCCUUAUGUCCUGGGCUACACACGUGCUACAAUGGUUAGGACAAAGAGUCGCAAGUUUGUAAAAACAAGCUAAUCUCAUAAACCUAGCCUAAGUUCAGAUUGUAGGCUGCAACUCGCCUACAUGAAGUUGGAAUCGCUAGUAAUCGCUGGUCAGCCAUACAGCGGUGAAUCCGUUCCCGGGCCU
rnacentral:rRNA from 1 species